GCGGAAAUAGCUCAGUUGGUAGAGCGCAACCUUGCCAAGGUUGAGGUCGCGGGGCCGAAUCCCGUUUUCCGCU
rnacentral:tRNA from 1 species